AUGCAGUCCUAUCUUAAUCGGGAAGUCAUCGGUGUCGACAUCACUUGUUCGAACACUUGUCACAACAUUAUUGUACAUGUCCUUGAUGAGGGUAAUGUACUUUGUUGGGACUUUGUGUUUCUCCAAGGCCCACCACAUGACAUUCCGCGGUAUCUUAUCAUAGGCCUUCUCCAAGUCAAUGAACACCAUAUGCAUGAAACCAAACUGAUUUUUGGUCACGCUUGUCAUUCUUCUUAA
rnacentral:rRNA from 1 species